rfam:Brachypodium distachyon strain Bd21 chromosome 1, whole genome shotgun sequence.
GAAUUACUCCCUCCGAUCCAUAUUAGUUGUCAAAUAUUACAUGUAUCUAGACAUCUUUUAGUCAUAGAUACAUUCAUAUUUGGGCAAAUUCGAGACAAUUAAUAUGAAUCGGAGGGAGUAUUAA